GAGAGAGCGCGAGAGAGAGAGAGAGAGAGAGCGCGCGCGCGAGAGAGAGCGCGCGAGAGAGACAGGCGACGAGAAUCACUGCGUGAGAUGGAUAUCAGAAGGUUAUUCGCCCGCAGCAGGGACAAAGCAGCGAGGAAUGAGAGAAGACCUCUGCUCUUUCCGUCCUUGUCUGGAACCUUCCGGCUUCAGUGACAAACCAGCUGAUUCAUGAAGUACCUCAAGACCUCUGAUCUGAGACAUCGCAGCCUCACAGCUACGCAGGAAGUCUGUUCUGAGAACUGAUGGCUGUCCUCUCUGAGACUUCCAGACACGAUUCUCUUCUCUUCUUUGGCCUGAUUGUGGCUCUUCUGAGGGCUGCUACGCCUUGUGGUUGCACAGUUGCACUGAUUUUAUGCUAUUCUUUAGCUUUAGCAUUAGUCAGGUUCUUUUCUGGACGAUGUACAUCUGCCAGUACUACAUGCUCACUGCUCUUUAGAGACAUCUUACGUGCUUUUAUGUUGUUCUUCACCGCUCACUGGUGCUGUCUUCUGGAGUAGCAAGUUCUCAUACAUAUAUACAGUACACAUAGUAUGUGUAUGUAUAUGUAUAUACACUAUAUGUAUGUGUCACAUAUAUAACGUGCAUAUAUACAUAAAUGAAUACAUAUAUAUAUAUUUAAACAAAUAUAUAUUACCUUUAUUGAUUUAUUUUUACGCUUUGCAGCAAAGGUCAACAAUCAACAAUACAAUCAUGUUGGAGCAUGAAACUAUAAAAAUAGAACACUCUGUCCCCGUAUGAGCAAUUAUAUGUUUUUGUGCAGAGGAAUCGGGAUGGUGAGAAAGUCCUCAGCCAGAAUGACUUCUACCCGAUGAUCAUCAUCAUCCUGUAGGACUUGUUCAGCCUGAUGUUGGAGUUCAGAGACAUCUUCAUCGUCUUCAUGGCGCUCCAGUGAGCUGGGUUUAUACCUCUGGCUAAAAUGGUACAACGCCAAUCUUCUAGCACAGCAGGCCCGCGCAAACACUGCUGCCAUCUGAGGCGUGCUAUGUCCGUGCUCCACCGCCUUGUCCCUGUGCUCGUCCCCCAGUGUGGCCUCGUGCACCAAAAGGUCGGCACUCUGGCAGACCCUCACGGGUCCUUCACCCAGCACCGAGCUGCAGUCUCCCAGAAUGCACACUUUCCUCCCGGGGAUGCUUUCUUCUAGGACCUCGCUGGGUAAAAGCAAACGGCCACUCUCCAGGGUCACUGGGUGACCCGCUUUCAGACGCCCGUAGGAGGGACCUGGUCUCAGGCCUGAAGAGGACAAGACACCCUUUAAGUGUCACACACAUACGGAUGUAUGCCUAUAAAUGUAUAAAUACAUAUGCCUAUAUAUGCACAUAUGCAUAUAAACAUUUGCACAUUUACAUAUACAUAUAUAUUUAUAUACACGCACAUUUACAUAUGCAUAUAUGUAAUAUACACAUAUAUAUACACACAUAUAUAUAUAUAUAUAUACACAUGCAUAUAUACAUAUGCACAUAUAUACACACAUGCAUAUAUAUGCACAUAUAUACACACAUGCACAUAUAUGCACAUAUA